rnacentral:rRNA from 1 species
GUGGAUUAGAUACCCUAGUAGUCCUAGCCGUAAACGAUGGGCACUUGGUGUCGGGGGUAUUGAGUCCCUCGGUGCCGGAGUUAACACGUUAAGUGCCCCGCCUGGGGAGUACGGUCGCAAGACUGAAACUCAAAGGAAUUGACGGGGGCCCGCACAAGCGGUGGAGCAUGUGGUUCAAUUCGACGCAACGCGAAGAACCUUACCGGGGCUCGAACGGUAACUGCAAUCCCUUGAAAGAGGGAGUUCUCUUCGGAGACGGUUAUCGAGGUGCUGCAUGGCUGUCGACAGCU